AUUGAACGCUGGCGGCAUGCCUUACACAUGCAAGUCGAACGGCAGCACGGGGCAACCUGGUGGCGAGUGGCGAACGGGUGAGUAAUGCAUCGGAACGUACCUUUCAGUGGGGGAUAACGUAGCGAAAGUUACGCUAAUACCGCAUAUUCUGUGAGCAGGAAAGCAGGGGAUCGCAAGACCUUGCGCUGAUUGAGCGGCCGAUGUCAGAUUAGCUAGUUGGUGAGGUAAAGGCCCACCAAGGCGACGAUCUGUAGCGGGUCUGAGAGGAUGAUCCGCCACACUGGAACCGAGACACGGUCCAGACUCCUACGGGAGGCAGCAGUGGGGAACUUUGGACAAUGGGGGCAACCCUGAUCCAGCCAUGCCGCGUGAGUGAAGAAGGCCUUCGGGUUGUAAAGCUCUUUCGGCCGGGAAGAAAUCGCACGGGCUAAUACCCUGUGUGGAUGACGGUACCGGAAUAAGAAGCACCGGCUAACUACGUGCCAGCAGCCGCGGUAACAC
rnacentral:rRNA from 1 species